CCUANGGGGGGCUGCAAGCGGGAAUAUUGCACAACGGGCGAAAGCCUGGUGCAGCGACGCCGCGUGAGGGAUGAAGGCCUUCGGGUUGUAAACCUCUGUUGAUGGGAACGAAAACUGACGGUACCCAUCGAGGAAGCCCCGGCUAACUCCGUGCCAGCAGCCGCGGUAAGACGGAGGGGGCGAGCGUUGUCCGGAUUUAUUGGGCGUGAAGAGCGCGUAGGCGGCCCGUUAAGUCGGCUGUGAAAUCGCUGGGCUCAACCCAGCAACUGCAGUCGAUACUGGUGGGCUCGAGUUCGGGAGAGGGAAGUGGAAUGGCUGGUGUAGCGGUGGAAUGCGUAGAGAUCAGCAAGAACACCGGUGGCGAAGGCGGCUUCCUGGACCGAUACUGACGCUGAGGCGCGAAAGCUAGGGGAGCGAACGGGAUUAGAUACCCUGNUANUC
rnacentral:rRNA from 1 species